rnacentral:rRNA from 1 species
UUGCCUACGGGGGGCAGCAGUGAGGAAUAUUGGUCAAUGGUCGGGAGACUGAACCAGCCAAGCCGCGUGAGGGAUGAAGGUACAGAGUAUCGUAAACCUCUUUUGUCAGGGAGCAAUUGAGUCCACGUGUGGGCUUAGCGAGAGUACCUGAAGAAAAAGCAUCGGCUAACUCCGUGCCAGCAGCCGCGGUAAUACGGAGGAUGCGAGCGUUAUCCGGAUUUAUUGGGUUUAAAGGGUGCGUAGGCGGAAUAUCAAGUCAGCGGUAAAUAUUCGGGUCUCAACCCCGUCGUGCUGUUGAACCUGCU